rnacentral:rRNA from 1 species
GGGGUGCACCAGGCGCGAAAACUUUACAAUGCUGGAAACAGCGAUAAGGGGACCUCGAGUGCCAGGUUACAAAUCUGGCUGUCGUGAUGCCUAAAAAGCAUUGCAUAGCAAGGGCCGGGCAAGACCGGUGCCAGCCGCCGCGGUAACACCGGCGGCUCGAGUGGUAACCGUUAUUAUUGGGUCUAAAGGGUCUGUAGCCGGCCGGAUAAGUCUCUUGGGAAAUCCAGCAGCUCAACUGUUGGGCUUUCAGGAGAUACUGUCUGGCUCGAGGCCGGGAGAGGUGAGAGGUACUUCAGGGGUAGGGGUGAAAUCUUGUAAUCCUUGAAGGACCACCAGUGGCGAAGGCGUCUCACCAGAACGGACCUGACGGCAAGGGACGAAAGCUAGGGGCACGAACCGGAUUAGAUACCCGGGUAGUCCUAGCCGUAAACGAUACUCGCUAGGUGUCGGCCACGGUGCGACCGUUGUCGGUGCCGUAGGGAAGCCGUGAAGCGAGCCACCUGGGAAGUACGGCCGCAAGGCUGAAACUUAAAGGAAUUGGCGGGGGAG